rnacentral:tRNA from 1 species
ACCUGGGUGGCUGAGUCAGUUAAGCGUCUGACUCUUGAUUUCUGCUCAGGUCAUGAUCUCACACUUUGUGGGUUCAAGUCCCACGUCAGGCU